CCUACGGAGUGCAGCAGUGGGGAAUAUUGGACAAUGGGCGAAAGCCUGAUCCAGCCAUGCCGCGUGUGUGAAGAAGGCCUUCGGGUUGUAAAGCACUUUCAGUGGGGAAGAAAGCCUUGGGGCUAAUACCCUCGAGGAAGGACAUCACCCACAGAAGAAGCACCGGCUAACUCCGUGCCAGCAGCCGCGGUAAUACGGAGGGUGCGAGCGUUAAUCGGAAUUACUGGGCGUAAAGCGCGCGUAGGCGGUCUGAUAAGCCGGUUGUGAAAGCCCCGGGCUCAACCUGGGAACGGCAUCCGGAACUGUCAGGCUAGAGUGCAGGAGAGGAAGGUAGAAUUCCCGGUGUAGCGGUGAAAUGCGUAGAGAUCGGGAGGAAUACCAGUGGCGAAGGCGGCCUUCUGGACUGACACUGACGCUGAGGUGCGAAAGCGUGGGUAGCAAACAGGAUUAGAUACCCCGGUAGUC
rnacentral:rRNA from 1 species